ACCUUGCGAAAGUAAGACUAAUACCCAAUGAUAUCUCUAGAAGACAUCUGAAAGGAUUAAAGAUUUAUCGGUGAUGGAUGGGGAUGCGUCUGAUUAGCUUGUUGGCGGGGUAACGGCCCACCAAGGCGACGAUCAGUAGGGGUUCUGAGAGGAAGGUCCCCCACAUUGGAACUGAGACACGGUCCAAACUCCUACGGGAGGCAGCAGUGAGGAAUAUUGGUCAAUGGGCGAGAGCCUGAACCAGCCAAGUAGCGUGCAGGAUGACGGCCCUAUGGGUUGUAAACUGCUUUUAUAAGGGAAUAAAGUGAGUCUCGUGAGACUUUUUGCAUGUACCUUAUGAAUAAGGACCGGCUAAUUCCGUGCCAGCAGCCGCGGUAAUACGGAAGGUCCGGGCGUUAUCCGGAUUUAUUGGGUUUAAAGGGAGCGUAGGCCGGAGAUUAAGCGUGUUGUGAAAUGUAGACGCUCAACGUCUGCACUGCAGCGCGAACUGGUUUCCUUGAGUACGCACAAAGUGGGCGGAAUUCGUGGUGUAGCGGUGAAAUGCUUAGAUAUCACGAAGAACUCCGAUUGCGAAGGCAGCUCACUGGAGCGCAACUGACGCUGAAGCUCGAAAGUGCGGGUAUCGAACAGGAUUAGAUACCCUGGUAGUCCGCACGGUAAACGAUGGAUGCCCGCUGUUGGUCUGAAUAGGUCAGCGGCCAAGCGAAAGCAUUAAGCAUCCCACCUGGGGAGUA
rnacentral:rRNA from 1 species